UUUGGUAGCUUAAGAUAUCAAAGAAGGACUUCUUGGAAACAACUAACAAAAUACCCAACUGUUGAUAAACGAACAGAACUAUCUAGAGAUGUUUUACAGAAAGCAAUAUCCAACAUUAAAAAAGAAAAUUGCAGAAAAUGAAUGCGAACAGAAAGAUUAGAUAUUUUUCCACAACCCAGAAGACUUUGUUCUUGUGUCUCCACCUCUCAUCCUUUGUAUCCAGUUGAUAACUUCCGUGUCUUCUGCUCAACGUAGUUGGUCUUCGAACUCAAACUUCUUGAAAGGUGAACCAGAGUACGAAGCUAGAGAAGAUCAAUUUGAAGGUUCAAGAACGUGAACGAUUUUUCCUUGUAAGGUAUCUGUACUGAAACUCUAAAGGAUUCGUGAUGUCAGUGUAAAAAA
rnacentral:lncRNA from 1 species